UGGACAGAUCGGCGUUCCUUAUUUUCUUAAAAAUGCUAAUCAUUUAAUUUCCAUGUAGAUAACAGAAAUAAAUUUAUUUAAAAAAUUUGCUCUUAUUUUGUCAAAUCUUCUCCGCAUCUUGCAGGAAACGCCAAGGACUGUCUUACUUUGUCAAAUUUGCUAUUAUUGGUCUUGUGUGAUUCAAGCUUUGAUUUAAGUCAUUUUGGGUGACACGAACGGUCUAAAAUAUUUUGAGGAUGAAUAGAAAAUUUGGUGGUGGAAGGCCGCCGACAGGUACUCCUUCACUGGCUUGGUCCUGUGUGGUUGUUGUCUUCUCUCUUCUUGCCGGUGCUUCCGUUGUUCACAAUAUGUAUAAGCCUAAUCUUACAUUGCCUCCGGUCGAUGGAGUUGAUAGGACCAAGCAGAAAACUGAUGAGAAAGAAUGAUCAUCUUCCCCAGAAUUCCUUUUAAAUUCGUGAGAUACCAAUCUCUGGAUCUUAAAGUUAAUAAUCAUCAGUAGUCUGAUAUACAAAAGUACAAAGGAUUCAGUUUGGAUGAGAAUAUUAUUUCAUUUAUUAAUUCCUUUGGA